rnacentral:rRNA from 1 species
AUCGAACGCUGGCGGCAGGCUUAACACAUGCAAGUCGAACGAGUGGCGGACGGGUGAGUAACGCCUGGGAAACCUCCCGUUGGCGGGGGAUAACUACUGGAAACGGUAGCUAAUACCUCAUACCCUCAGAUGUGCCCAGAUGGGAUUAGCUAGUUGGUGGGGUAACGGCUCACCUGGGCGACGAUCCCUAGCUGGUCUGAGCGGAUGACCAGCCACACUGGAACUGAGACACGGUCCAGACUCCUACGGGAGGCAGCAGUGGGGAAUAUUGCACAAUGGGCGCAAGCCUGAUGCAGCCAUGCCGCGUGUAUGAAGAGGGCCUUCGGGUUGUAAAGUACUUUCAGCGGGGAGGCGGUACCCGCAGAAGAAGCACCGGCUAACUCCGUGCCAGCAGCCGCGGUAAUAC